rnacentral:rRNA from 1 species
GUGAGGAAUAUUGGUCAAUGGGCGAGAGCCUGAACCAGCCAAGUCGCGUGAAGGAAGAAGGAUCUAUGGUUCGUAAACUUCUUUUGCAGGGGAAUAAAGUGCGGGACGUGUCCUGUUUUGUAUGUACCCUGAGAAUAAGGAUCGGCUAACUCCGUGCCAGCAGCCGCGGUAAUACGGAGGAUCCGAGCGUUAUCCGGAUUUAUUGGGUUUAAAGGGUGCGUAGGUGGUUUGAUAAGUCAGCGGUGAAAGUUUGCAGCUUAACUGUAAAAAUGCCGUUGAAACUGUCGGACUUGAGUGUAAAUGAGGUAGGCGGAAUGCGUGGUGUGGCGGUGAAAUGCAUAGAUAUCACGCAGAACUCCGAUUGCGAAGGCAGCUUACUAAGCUACAACUGACACUGAAGCACGAAAGCGUGGGGAUCAAACAGGAUUAGAAACCCCUGUAGUCC